UCAAGUGAAUAAGUGCAUCAGGCGGAUGCCUUGGCGAUGAUAGGCGACGAAGGACGUGUAAGCCUGCGAAAAGCGCGGGGGAGCUGGCAAUAAAGCUAUGAUUCCGCGAUGUCCGAAUGGGGAAACCCACUGCAUUCUGUGCAGUAUCCUAAGUUGAAUACAUAGGCUUAGAGAAGCGAACCCGGAGAACUGAACCAUCUAAGUACCCGGAGGAAAAGAAAUCAACCGAGAUUCCGCAAGUAGUGGCGAGCGAACGCGGAGGAGCCUGUACGUAAUAACUGUCGAGAUAGAAGAACAAGCUGGGAAGCUUGACCAUAGCGGGUGACAGUCCCGUAUUCGAAAUCUCAACAGCGGUACUAAGCGUACGAAAAGUAGGGCGGGACACGUGAAAUCCUGUCUGAAUAUGGGGGGACCAUCCUCCAAGGCUAAAUACUCAUCAUCGACCGAUAGUGAACCAGUACCGUGAGGGAAAGGCGAAAAGAACCCCGGGAGGGGAGUGAAACAGAACCUGAAACCUGAUGCAUACAAACAGUGGGAGCGCCCUAGUGGUGUGACUGCGUACCUUUUGUAUAAUGGGUCAACGACUUACAUUCAGUAGCGAGCUUAACCGGAUAGGGGAGGCGUAGGGAAACCGAGUCUUAAUAGGGCGAUGAGUUGCUGGGUGUAGACCCGAAACCGAGUGAUCUAUCCAUGGCCAGGUUGAAGGUGCCGUAACAGGUACUGGAGGACCGAACCCACGCAUGUUGCAAAAUGCGGGGAUGAGCUGUGGGUAGGGGUGAAAGGCUAAACAAACUCGGAGAUAGCUGGUUCUCCCCGAAAACUAUUUAGGUAGUGCCUCGAGCAAGACACUGAUGGGGGUAAAGCACUGUUAUGGCUAGGGGGUUAUUGCAACUUACCAACCCAUGGCAAACUCAGAAUACCAUCAAGUGGUUCCUCGGGAGACAGACAGCGGGUGCUAACGUCCGUUGUCAAGAGGGAAACAACCCAGACCGCCGGCUAAGGUCCCAAAUGAUAGAUUAAGUGGUAAACGAAGUGGGAAGGCACAGACAGCCAGGAUGUUGGCUUAGAAGCAGCCAUCAUUUAAAGAAAGCGUAAUAGCUCACUGGUCGAGUCGUCCUGCGCGGAAGAUGUAACGGGGCUCAAAUCUAUAACCGAAGCUGCGGAUGCCGGUUUACCGGCAUGGUAGGGGAGCGUUCUGUAGGCUGAUGAAGGUGCAUUGUAAAGUGUGCUGGAGGUAUCAGAAGUGCGAAUGUUGACAUGAGUAGCGAUAAAGCGGGUGAAAAGCCCGCUCGCCGAAAGCCCAAGGUUUCCUACGCAACGUUCAUCGGCGUAGGGUAAGUCGGCCCCUAAGGCGAGGCAGAAAUGCGUAGUCGAUGGGAAACAGGUUAAUAUUCCUGUACUUGAUUCAAAUGCGAUGUGGGGACGGAGAAGGUUAGGUUGGCAAGCUGUUGGAAUAGCUUGUUUAAGCCGGUAGGUGGAAGACUUAGGCAAAUCCGGGUUUUCUUAACACCGAGAAGUGAUGACGAGUGUCUACGGACACGAAGCAACCGAUACCACGCUUCCAGGAAAAGCCACUAAGCUUCAGUUUGAAUCGAACCGUACCGCAAACCGACACAGGUGGGCAGGAUGAGAAUUCUAAGGCGCUUGAGAGAACUCGGGAGAAGGAACUCGGCAAAUUGAUACCGUAACUUCGGGAGAAGGUAUGCCCUCUAAGGUUAAGGACUUGCUCCGUAAGCCCCGGAGGGUCGCAGAGAAUAGGUGGCUGCGACUGUUUAUUAAAAACACAGCACUCUGCCAACACGAAAGUGGACGUAUAGGGUGUGACGCCUGCCCGGUGCCGGAAGGUUAAUUGAAGAUGUGCAAGCAUCGGAUCGAAGCCCCGGUAAACGGCGGCCGUAACUAUAACGGUCCUAAGGUAGCGAAAUUCCUUGUCGGGUAAGUUCCGACCCGCACGAAUGGCGUAACGAUGGCCACACUGUCUCCUCCCGAGACUCAGCGAAGUUGAAGUGGUUGUGAAGAUGCAAUCUACCCGCUGCUAGACGGAAAGACCCCGUGAACCUUUACUGUAGCUUUGCAUUGGACUUUGAAGUCACUUGUGUAGGAUAGGUGGGAGGCUUGGAAGCAGAGACGCCAGUCUCUGUGGAGUCGUCCUUGAAAUACCACCCUGGUGUCUUUGAGGUUCUAACCCAGACCCGUCAUCCGGGUCGGGGACCGUGCAUGGUAGGCAGUUUGACUGGGGCGGUCUCCUCCCAAAGCGUAACGGAGGAGUUCGAAGGUUACCUAGGUCCGGUCGGAAAUCGGACUGAUAGUGCAAUGGCAAAAGGUAGCUUAACUGCGAGACCGACAAGUCGGGCAGGUGCGAAAGCAGGACAUAGUGAUCCGGUGGUUCUGUAUGGAAGGGCCAUCGCUCAACGGAUAAAAGGUACUCCGGGGAUAACAGGCUGAUUCCGCCCAAGAGUUCAUAUCGACGGCGGAGUUUGGCACCUCGAUGUCGGCUCAUCACAUCCUGGGGCUGUAGUCGGUCCCAAGGGUAUGGCUGUUCGCCAUUUAAAGUGGUACGUGAGCUGGGUUUAAAACGUCGUGAGACAGUUUGGUCUCUAUCUGCAGUGGGCGUUGGAAGUUUGACGGGGGCUGCUCCUAGUACGAGAGGACCGGAGUGGACGAACCUCUGGUGUACCGGUUGUAACGCCAGUUGCAUAGCCGGGUAGCUAAGUUCGGAAGAGAUAAGCGCUGAAAGCAUCUAAGCGCGAAACUCGCCUGAAGAUGAGACUUCCCUUGCGGUUUAACCGCACUAAAGGGUCGUUCGAGACCAGGACGUUGAUAGGUGGGGUGUGGAAGCGCGGUAACGCGUGAAGCUAACCCAUACUAAUUGCCCGUGAGGCUUGACUCU
rnacentral:rRNA from 1 species